CCUACGGGGGGCAGCAGUGGGGAAUAUUGCACAAUGGGGGAAACCCUGAUGCAGCGACGCCGCGUGAGUGAAGAAGUAUCUCGGUACGUAAAGCUCUAUCAGCAGGGAAGCAAAUGCCGGUACCUGACUAAGAAGCAGCGGCUAAAUACGUGCCAGCAGCCGCGGUAAUACGGAGGGAGCAAGCGUGAUACGGAUUUACUGGGUGUAAAGGGAGCGUAGAGGGCAGCACAGGUCUGGAGUGAAAUCCCGGGGCUUAACCCCGGAACUGCUGUGGAAACUGGGCGGCUCGAGUGCAGGAGGGGUAAGCGGAAUGCCUAGUGUAGCGGUGAAAUGCAUAGAUAUUAGGAAGAACACCGGUGGCGAAGGCGGCUUGCUGGAUUGUAACUGACGUUGAGGCUCGAAAGCGUGGGGAGCAAACAGGAUUAGAUACCCUUGUAGUC
rnacentral:rRNA from 1 species